rnacentral:rRNA from 1 species
AAUAGAUACCCCGGUAGUCCACGCCGUAAACGAUGAGUGCUAAGUGUUAGAGGGUUUCCGCCCUUUAGUGCUGCAGCUAACGCAUUAAGCACUCCGCCUGGGGAGUACGGCCGCAAGGCUGAAACUCAAAGGAAUUGACGGGGGCCCGCACAAGCGGUGGAGCAUGUGGUUUAAUUCGAAGCAACGCGAAGAACCUUACCAGGUCUUGACAUCCUCUGCCAACCCUAGAGAUAGGGUGUUCCCCUUCGGGGGACAGAGUGACAGGUGGUGCAUGGUUGUCGUCAGCUCGUGUCGUGAGAUGUUGGGUUAAGUCCCGCAACAAGCGCAACCCUUGAUCUUAGUUGCCAGCAUUUAGUUGGGCACUCUAAGGUGACUGCCGGUGACAAACCGGAGGAAGGUGGGGAUGACGUCAAAUCAUCAUGCCCCUUAUGACCUGGGCUACACACGUGCUACAAUGGAUGGUACAAAGAGCUGCGAACCCGCGAGGGUAAGCCAAUCUCAUAAAGCCAUUCUCAGUUCGGAUUGUAGG